rnacentral:rRNA from 1 species
CAGUCGCCACGGUAAUACGUAGGUGGCGAGCGUUGUCCGGAAUUAUUGGGCGUAAAGGGAGCGCAGGCGGACAUAUAAGUCCAUCUUAAAAGUGCGGGGCUCAACCCCGUGAGGGGAUGGAAACUGUAUGCCUUGAGUGCAGGAGAGGAAAGCGGAAUUCCCAGUGUAGCGGUGAAAUGCGUAGAUAUUGGGAGGAACACCAGUGGCGAAGGCGGCUUUCUGGACUGUAACUGACGCUGAGGCUCGAAAGCCAGGGGAGCGAACGGGAUUAGAUACCCGCGUAGUCCCUGUCUCUUAUACC